GUGGUCGUAGCUCAAAGGUAGAGCCACGCGCUGUGAACGGCGACGACGCCGGGUCAGUACCGGCCGACCACCCCA
rnacentral:tRNA from 1 species